UACGGAGGGAGCUAGCGUUGUUCGGAAUUACUGGGCGUAAAGCGCGCGUAGGCGGCUUUGUAAGUUAGAGGUGAAAGCCCGGGGCUCAACCCCGGAAUUGCCUUUAAGACUGCAUCGCUUGAAUCCGGGAGAGGUGAGUGGAAUUCCGAGUGUAGAGGUGAAAUUCGUAGAUAUUCGGAAGAACACAAGUGGCGAAGGCGGCUCACUGGACCGGCAUUGACGCUGAGGUGCGAAAGCGUGGGGAGCAAACAGG
rnacentral:rRNA from 1 species